UUACAUCUUCCCCUCGCAAUCACGAGAUCCGAAUUCACUCUGCCGAUCCACUCGCAAAGCAUGGCGAAUUAGACAUUAAUCUUUUUUCUCUUCUGGUUAAAUAGGCAUUAAUCAAAUAAGAAAUGUGCGUAAUGUUCACCCUCCUAUCUACACUACUAGACGUCCGAAAUCGGAAAUAAUGUGGCCGGUUUAAACCCGACACAUUUCGCCAGAAGAAGAAAGGAAGCUCGCGUUCUUGUAUUUGGUAGACCCAAGCUACCAUCCCUCUCUUUCUCUCCAUCUGUGCCUUUUGCAGGUUUGUGAGUCUUUCAUUUUCGGGAGCAGACUCUCUCUCUCUCUCGGUCGCGGAGAGCCUUCUACUGCUGUUGUUCAUGGAGCAUCAGAGGCGCCUAGAUCAGAGCCUCCCGGAGAGGAAGGGUCAAAAGCGGAAACUGGAGGAAGAAGUCGAAGAAGGGCGAGAGAUCUCCGUACCCUCGGGGGAGGCAAGGCGAGCGCUACUCUCUGAGGUGGCUGCACAGCUUACUAUCCUGAACUCCACCUUCUCUUGGAAGGAAGCUGAUCGUGCUGCGGCCAAGCGUGCCACUCACAUCCUUGCCGAGCUCGCGAAGAAUGAGGAAGUUGUGAACGUGAUUGUUGAAGGCGGUGCGGUUCCGGCUUUGGUGACGCAUCUUCAAGCGCCGCCUUCAGGCGAAGGUGACCGGAAUCCAAAGCCAUAUGAGCACGAGGUCGAGAAGGGGAGCGCUUUUGCACUAGGCCUUCUUGCUGUGAAGCCUGAGCAUCAACAAUUCAUAGUUGAUUGCGGUGCUUUGCCAAAUCUCGUGGAUCUGUUAAAGAGGCACAAGAACAGUUCUAGCUCUCGUGCUAUGACUAGUGUCAUUCGUAGAUCUGCCGAUGCCAUCACCAACCUUGCUCAUGAGAAUAGCAGCAUUAAAACCCGUGUCAGGAUGGAAGGCGGAAUUCCACCUCUUGUUGAAUUGCUUGAGUUCACAGAUACAAAGGUGCAAAGAGCUGCUGCUGGGGCUCUGCGAACCCUGGCAUUUAAAAAUGAUGAAAACAAGAAUCAGAUAGUUGAAUGUAAUGCACUUCCUACCCUCAUUCUAAUGCUUCGAUCUGAAGAUACUGCUAUCCAUUAUGAAGCGGUUGGUGUGAUCGGAAAUCUGGUGCACUCAUCCCCAGACAUAAAGAAGGAAGUUCUUUUAGCUGGAGCGCUGCAACCUGUUAUUGGAUUACUUAGUUCCUGCUGCUCUGAGAGUCAAAGGGAGGCAGCUUUAUUACUUGGACAAUUUGCUGCAACUGAUUCUGAUUGCAAGGUUCAUAUUGUACAGAGGGGUGCUGUCCGACCUUUGAUUGAGAUGCUCCAAUCUUCCGAUGUACAGCUUAGGGAAAUGUCAGCUUUUGCAUUGGGGAGGUUGGCACAGGACAUGCACAAUCAAGCUGGUAUUGCUCACAGUGGUGGUUUGGUGCCUUUACUGAAGCUUCUUGAUUCCAAAAAUGGGUCUUUGCAACAUAAUGCUGCAUUUGCUCUUUAUGGGCUUGCGGAUAACGAGGAUAAUGUAUCGGAUUUUAUUAGAGUGGGAGGUGUUCAGAAACUGCAGGAUGGAGAGUUUAUAGUUCAAGCAACAAAAGAUUGUGUAGCCAAGACGUUGAAAAGAUUAGAGGAGAAGAUUCAUGGACGAGUUUUGAAUUAUCUGUUAUAUCUUUUGCGUGGAGCAGAGAAGGCUGUCCAAAGACGAGUCUCUUUGGCUCUUGCUCAUCUUUGUUCUCCAGAUGCUUUGAGAACCAUAUUUAUUGAUAACAAUGGGUUGGAGUUGCUUCUUGGGCUCCUCGGUUCCUCUAGCCUUAAGCAGCAACUUGAUGGUGCUGUGGCUCUAUAUAAAUUGGCCAACAAAGCCAUGGCUCUUUCUCCUGUUGAUGCAGCUCCCCCGUCUCCAACACCGCAGGUCUAUUUAGGGGAGCAGUUUGUAGACAAUCCUACACUGUCUGACGUUACGUUUCUUGUUGAAGGUAGAAGGUUCUAUGCUCACAGAAUCUGCCUGCUUGCUUCUUCAGAUGCUUUCCGUGCAAUGUUUGAUGGUGGUUACCGGGAAAAGGAUGCAAGGGACAUAGAGAUUCCAAAUAUUAGAUGGGAGGUUUUCCAGUUGAUGAUAAGAUUCAUAUACACUGGAUCUGUAGAAGUUACAUUGGAUGUUGCACAAGAUCUUCUCAGAGCUGCUGAUCAGUAUCUCUUGGAGGGACUUAAGCGACUUUGCGAGUAUACUAUAGCACGGGAUAUAUCAUUGGAUAAUAUAUCGAGCAUGUAUGAACUUUCAGAAGCCUUCCAUGCAAUGUCAUUGAGGCACACAUGCAUCCUGUUUAUCUUGGAGCAAUAUGAUAAAUUGAGUGCUAGGCCAGGGCACUCUCAUCUGAUCCAGCGUAUUAUACCAGAGAUUCGUAAUUAUGCCAAAACACUUACUAAGCCUAAUGCACAUAGGUUGCGGCCGUAAAUUGCUUUCUAUUCUUGAUCCCUAACCAAAAACGAUGUACAGAAAUGGUAGUUCGUGUUGUUGGGCCUGUAGACGUUUCUAGCUUGUUGAUUGUAGUGAGGCUCAUGACUUUCGGAGGCCAGACUCCUGUUGCAUGCACGCACUGUAAGUUUCUUCUGCAACGCCAUUGUCUUAGAUAUUGCUGAGACUAUUACUUUCAUGAACAUUAUUUUUCUUUCUUCACUGUGAGGGUUGCAUGACUUAACGUAGCUGCUUCUUUUGUGCAAUAAUGUAGCUAGACUGCUAACUGCUCGAGUCCUCUUUGAAGCGUAUGAUUAUGAUUGAUAACUACAAGCUCCUGUUCGAUGAACUCUCUUGCGCUGAUUGAUAACUGCAAGCUCCUUGUUUCACGCAUGUCCCUUCCUCUGCCUCGAACCAGUCUUCUUCUUCACACGUCUCGACUGCACGAAGCUCUUGUUCUUCCCACGUUCCUCCCUUGAAGCUCUCCCUCCUUUCCAUGACAGCUCUUGCCUCUUCCUCUCUUCGUCUUCUCCACGAAAUCACAGGCGACUCCCUUUCUGUGCCAUGAAGCUUUUCUUGCAAGCUUUCGUUAGCUGCAUGCUCAAAUGCAAUGACUCCUUGUUCUGAAAUCAUGGAGAUUGGAUCUAAGAAAUAGAAAUUUAUUGGCCUUCAAACAAAGGAAUUAAGAACAAAUCAAAUCACUAGACACGAACGUAACUCACCUCCGUCAUCAUAUUUCAAGGUCGCAGGUAAGGCAAAGGCAAAGGCGUUGAUGUUGGGAGGUGUAGUUUUUGAGAAGAAUAAUCAUUCUUAUUAAUUUUAAAGAGAAACGAAUACAAGAUAAAUAGAAGAGGAAAACCACCAAAUCAGGAAGGUCAUAAAAUCAGCAAAUCAAAUAAGUAAAUCUCUAGGUUAGAAAACAGGAAACAUAAAUAUCUAAAAUUUGAAAUUACUAUUUCAGAUUUUAUUUAAAAUAGAACUUCUUAACUUAUCUCAUAUUCUAUAGAACUUCCUAAUUUAUCUUCUAGAAAUCCGACACCCACUCUCAAGUUGGAGCUGGAGCGUAGAUGUUUAUCAUGCCCAACUUGCUUACAAGGAGCUCAAAACUAGGUCUGAAAAGUCCAUUGGUGAAGAUAUCGGCUAUUUGUUGAGUAGUAGGAACAAAAGGCAUGCAAACAGCUCCAUUAUCAAUCUUCUCCUUUAUGAAGUGUUUGUCAAUUUCUACAUGCUUUGUGUGAUCAUGUUAUACUGGAUUUUGAGCAAUACUUAUGGCAGCUUUGUUGUCACAAUACAACUUCAUUGGCAUGUUUAUCGGCAUCCGCAGCUCUUCAAGAAUUCUCUUUAGCCAUAACAUCUCACAAACUCCCCCUAUAUUCUGCCUCGACACUGCUCCUUGCAACUACAUUAUGUUUCUUGCUUUGCCGUGUGACCAUAUUUCCCUAGACAUAAGUGUAGUAUUCUGACGUGAAUCUCCUAUCAAUAACUAAGCCUGCCUAAUCUGCAUCAAUGUAUGCCUCUAUGUUCUGCUGUGUGGUCUUCUGGAAGAGUAAACCCUUGCCUGAUAUACUUUUCAAGUAUUUGAGAAUAUGAUAAACUACUUCAAGAUGUUUCUUGUAUGGUGAGUGCAUAAACUGACUUACCAAACUCAUUACAAAAGCAAUAUCAGGCCGUGUAUGUGAUAAGUAAAUUAACUUUCCCACCAACUUUUGAUACCGAGUUGUAUUCACUGGGUCACCUUCCUUGUCAUCUCCAAGUUUCUUAUUGAGAUUGAUUGGAGUGUCUGCUGGCCUACACCCACUCAUCCCAGUCUCCUUAAGGAGGUCAAGGACAUACUUAUGUUUGGGAGAUAACAAUCCAUUUCUUCGACCGAGCAACCUCCAUUCUAAGGAAAUACCUCAGAGAUCCUAAGUCCUUGAUCUCAAAUGUUGAUGAGAGGGAAGCCUUCAAUCGGUUUAUCUCAAGUACGUCAUCUCCAGUGAGAAUUAUAUCGUCUACAUACACAAUCAGUAUUGCCAUCUUCUCAUCCUGUGAAUGUCUUGUAAACAUUGUAUGAUCACCUUGCCCUUGAGUAUACCCCUGACUUAACAAAGUGAGUGAAUUUCUCAAACCAGGCUCUUGGUGAUUGUUUUAACCCAUAUAAGGAUUUCUUCAGCUUACACACCUUUGUGCCAAACUUUUCACCAAAUCUUGGAGGUGCAUCCAUGUAUACUUCUUCCUCCAUAUAUUCAUUGAGAAAUGCAUUUUUUUACGUCCAACUAUUUCAGAGGCCAGUCACGAUUAGCUGCAAGUGACAAAAGAACUCUUACAAUGCUUAGCUUUGCGACCAGGGCGAAUGUUUCUAAGUAAUCAAUGCCAUAGGUCUGAGUGAAUCCCUUGGCAACCAAUCGAGCUUUAUACUGUUCUAAAGAGCCAUCAAAUUCAUACUUGACUGUAAAAACCCAUUUGCUCCAUACAAUUGUCUUUCUUAUUGGUAGAUCAACUAACUCCCAUGUGCCAUUUUUUUCAAGAGCUUUCAUCUCCUCGAAGACAACCUCCUUCCACUCAAGAAUUUUCAGAGCAUCUUGCACAGUAUUAGGAAUCUCCAUACAAGACAAUUGUGAGGUAAAAGCACGAAAAAUAGGUGAGAGAUUUUCAUAUGACACAUAAUUGGACAAUGGAUUGCUGGGUGCAAGAUCUCACAGCCUUCCGGAUAGCAAUAGGAAGUUCAGGAUCAUUGAACUCAGGAUUGACACCAGACUCGGGUUCAGAACUAGAGGACUCAGAACUCGAAGAUGAAAGGGUUGAACAUGAGGUAAGGGCUCGGUAAGGACAUUACCUGGAGGGUUUACGGAUUCUGGGCAGUGUGAAGGAUUGGAAGAUCCUUUCUUUCGAGUUGUCUUCUGUCGCUAGUAGACAAUGCCAAAUGGUACCAACGCUGUGUUUUUCGUUUAUGUUUCUCCUUUGUGAACAUCAUGAGAUGGCUCUGUAGGAAAACCUGCCUUUUCAGUAUCUAAGAAACUCGACUCACUUUCCCCUGGUAUAAUAAAGCUUGGGUUUUUAGGUUGAAUAAUUAAGGUUGGAGAA